GACGAACGCUGGCGGCGUGCUUAACACAUGCAAGUCGAACGGAAAGGCCCUGCUUUUGUGGGGUGCUCGAGUGGCGAACGGGUGAGUAACACGUGAGUAACCUGCCCUUGACUUUGGGAUAACUUCAGGAAACUGGGGCUAAUACCGGAUAGGAGCUCCUGCUGCAUGGUGGGGGUUGGAACGUUUCGGCGGUUGGGGAUGGACUCGCGGCUUAUCAGCUUGUUGGUGGGGUAGUGGCUUACCAAGGCUUUGACGGGUAGCCGGCCUGAGAGGGUGACCGGCCACAUUGGGACUGAGAGACGGAGCAGACUCCUACGGGAGGCAGCAGUGGGGAAUAUGGCACAAUGGGCGGAAGCCUGAUGCAGCAACGCCGCGGGCGGGAUGACGGCCUUCGGGUUGUAAACCGCUUUCGCCUGUGACGAAGCGGGAGUGACGGUAAUGGGUAAAGAAGCACCGGCUAACUACGUG
rnacentral:rRNA from 1 species